GAAAUAAUGAGAGAGAAGAAAAACACUCUGAACCCGUCUUGAGUUUUUUUGUUUACGGUUUGUUUACGCUCCGCCAUUCUGGCAAAACCAAAACCUCGCGUGUGGGCGGGGCUUAACAGCGCUCUACUCUCAUUGGCCAGUGAGAUUUGGAUCGACAGCUCCCUGGCCGGGAAGUCGAGACUUCGGGGGCGUGAUUUUUGGAGAGCGUUCUGGAUGUAUCGUUCUGGUGUUUCUACUUUGUAGUGAAAAUGACUUACUUACGUAGACGGUAUAUUUAAUUCGGAAUUAAUAUUUUUUCCAGAUGAGCUCUGAGGAGCAGCACUGAGCGGCGGCGUUGUCGUCGUCCUCCUCCUCCUCCUCCUCAGCUGAACACUCCAUCCAAAUCUCACUAGCCAAUGAGAGUAAAUCACUGUUAAGCCCCGCCCACACUGCCUCUGAGCCUCCAGUGCAGUUCAGAGUUUCAGAGCAACGCAGGAUGAGAUGCAGGACAGAGUCACUUUCACAUCAUGGAGAAGUUCUAGCGCCAGAAACCAGAAGCCAGAAACCACCGGAAGCCUCUUAAGAUAAAGGUCUGUACCUCAUAUUUCACAAUUUUACUCCUGGGUGUAUUAUAAUUGAGCUUGUUCCUGGACGUGUUAGAUGUGUAUGAAACAUUCAUUUUAGUUUCAUACUGUGUGUGUGUGUGUGUGUGUGUGUGUGUGUGUGUGUGUGUGUGUGUGUGUGUGCAAAUUGAUUGCUUAUAAUUUAUCCCUUUUCAUGCCCAUCCCCCUCCUUCCAGCAUUAAUCUCAUGGCCCAUCAACAUUUGACUUAUUAUUAUUAUUAUUAUUAUUACUUUUAAAAUUUUUAGAAAUAGCUGUCAAUAGAAAGACAGGCAUGCGUGUACACAUCAUUCAUAUGCACCUCCAUGUGAAUAAACACUCCACUGGACUUGUUUGACAGGUACUCACUCUGAUGCACAAUGAGUACAUCACCACACCUCAGGUGGCAUCCUGUAAAAAUGUUCUUUAACCAGUCCAUUCCUCAUAAAGCCUCACGUACUGUGAUAACAACAUUUUUUUUAAAACAAUUAGCACAGUCGAGAAUCUUUUUAAUCUCUCUUGUUAUUAGUGUCUCACUCAGCCUGUUCUUCCACGUGCAGCUGUAGCAUCAUGGGAAAUGUCCGCUCAGCAUUCAGUACUACUUUUUGAGUAGGUCAAACAAUUAUGUAAACAAUUUAGCUACCCAGAUAUGUAUAAAUCGGUGGUCUGGCAACCUGUUGGUUGUUGGACAAAUAGGUUUAACAUCUGGCAAAAGAAGAAGAAAAAAAAAAAACAAUUAAAUUUCACGGUUGCCAUGCAUUACAAAAGAAACACAUCUUCACCAAACAGAUGUAUUUGGUGUAAUGCGAAGACUGGGUGAAUUACCACUUCCCCUCACGACUACGUUACCCCAGUGGCCACUCGCAGCUCAAGCGGAGGAAUAAACUCAUCUUCAGAAGUAAGAACAAUCCAGAUGUGCCUAGUAUUUUCCCCCCGAAAAUCCCCAGCGUACUUUAUGUUGUUGGACGAGACGGGUAUAUUUCUACAGACGCGUGUCAAGCGGUGCAGAAUCCGGGUGUCGUGCUACUUAAUUCCAAAAAGUUCUCGUUUUCUAUUGGUUCACAAGACCGAGGUCGAAGUUCGCCUGGAUAAACGUGGCGCUAAAAUGAAAGUAACCCAUACCGGAAGAAAAUGCGUCCUUUCCCUUUCCUUGCGUUUGGUCCGAACACUUGGUCUGAGAAAGCAGAAAAGCAUAGUUUUCCGGUGUCUUCCAUAUCGGGGUGGAAGACUGUGAGACUGAACAGUAAUUGUUGGCGCGUCUGACGGUAUAGGCCUGGUUGGCGCGUUUUUCUAGCAGAAGAGUAAUGGUUUCUUCGGAGUAGGAGGUGAACCUGUUAAAGCUGACUAAACCUGUUAAAGCUGAUAAACAUGAAUGUAGGAGUAAACAUGAAUAAAUAGGAAUGGAGAUGUAAACAUGAAUAAACAUGAAUGUAGAAAUAAAUAUGAAUAAACAUGAAUGUAGGAGUAAACAUGAAUAAACAUGAAUGUAGGAGUAAACAUGAAUAAAUAGGAAUGUAGAAGUAAACAUGAAUAAACAUGAAUGUAGAAGUAAACAUGAAUAAAUAGGAAUGUAGAAGUAAACAUGAAUGUAGGAGUAAACAUGAAUAAACAUGAAUGUAGGAGUAAACAUGAAUAAACAUGAAUGUAGGAGUAAACAUGAAUAAACAUGAAUGUAGAAGUAAACAUGAAAUAAACAUGAAUGUAGAAAUAAAUCUGAAUAAACAGGAAUGUAGAAGUAAACAUGAAUAAAUAGGAAUGUAGAAGUAAACAUGAAUGUAGAAGUAAACAUGAAUAAAUAUGAAUGUAGGAGUAAACAUGAAUAAACAGGACUGGAUAUGUAAAUAUGAAUAAAUAUGAAUGUAGGAGUAAACAUGAAUGUAGAAGUAAACAUGAAUAAAUAUGAAUGUAGGAGUAAACAUGAAUAAACAUGAAUGUAGGAGUAAAUAUGAAUAAACAUGAAUGCAGGAGUAAACAUGAAUAAAUAGGAAUGUAAAAGUAAACAUGAAUGUAGGAGUAAACAUGAAUAAACAGGACUGUAGAAGUAAACAUGAAUAAACAUGAAUGUAGGAGAAUGUAAAAGUAAACAUGAAUGUAGGAGUAAACAUGAAUCAACAGGACUGGAGAUGUAAACAUGAAUAAACAUGAAUGUAGAAAUAAAUGAAUAAACAUGAAUGUAGGAGUAAACAUGAAUAAACAUGAAUGCAGGAGUAAACAUGAAUAAAUAGGAAUGUAGAAGUAAACAUGAAUGUAGGAGUAAACAUGAAUAAACAGGACUGGAGAUGUAAACAUGAAUAAACAUGAAUGUAGGAGUAAACAUGAAUAAACAGGACUGGAGAUGUAUGUGUAUGUAUAUGAAUGUAGGCUUUCAGGGGCAGAAUUUCCCCACAAUGCAUUGCAGUCUGAUGUAUUUUUCAUGUUAACAAAUAUAAGGCUGUGUGUGUGUGUGUGUGUGUGUGUGUGUGUGUGUGUGUGUGUGUGUGUGUGUGUGUGUGUGUAAUGCAGCAUUAGAGGUGUAAGGUUAGUGUUAUUUGUGCAGUCUGUGAAACCUGUGAUCUUAAAUCCUCAUGACUUUGAUUAUAAUGCUUCCUAAGUUGUUUACAAAGCUCUAUAAUUACUCCUCCAAAGAAGUGUUAGAAAUGACUAUCAUUAAUUCAGAUGCGUCAUGGCGUGCAAAACAGCCUACUGCCCCGUUCUUCUUCCCGAUGAUGACUUAAUGACAUCAUUACACACCAAUUUCUCAACUGUUAGUCCAUAUCCGAGAUGACCGUCUCGAUUCGGUUCCUGUUUGGUACGAAAACGGAUCAGAACGGAGCGAAAAAAAAAAGACGUGUGGGAGAAGGCGGAGCUCGAAAUGCACGCGAGCAAAUGAGCGAAAACUCGAGGAGUGUCCCGUAGCGAUGUGUGUUCAUUUGUGCCGUGUUUGUUUUAGUGUGACAGAAAUGUAGAGACAUUUAAAAUACUUUGGACCUAGCUACAGUCCCCUCUGAAACUACUGGAGCGGCAAGACCAAAAGUAUAGGAACAGAUCGAUCAUGGACUAACUUACAGUAAAUAGGGG
ensembl:lncRNA